UGGUAUGGAUUUGUGGGUGAGUAGAUACAUAAAUAGAGUGUCUUGAUAUUCGAUUAGAGGAUUGAAAGAAUUUCAAUUGUAAUUAUGUAAGUUUUACUAGUUAUUAUUGAAAUUAGAUAUUAUGGAUGUUGAGGUUGUAAUGAAAUAUUUUUGGCCUUGCAUAUUCUUUAGGACUUAUUCUAAAAAAUAUGUGGCCAUCACGUACCCGACACGGGUGUUGGGUUCGAGGCAUGACAGUCUUGCUUCCUAAUUACCUCAAACAUACCCUAUCAUAAAUAUUAACCUUUAAGUUUGUUAUCAUAUUCAAAACGAUUACAUAACUUAGUG
rnacentral:lncRNA from 1 species